rnacentral:tRNA from 1 species
GUUUCCAUAGUGUAGUGGUUAUCACGUUAAGCCUACACGCUUGCUGAAAGGUCCCCAGUUUGAAACUGGGUGGAAACA